rnacentral:rRNA from 1 species
CCUACGGGGGGCUGCAGUAAGGAAUAUUGGUCAAUGGGCGCAAGCCUGAACCAGCCAUGCCGCGUGAAGGAUGACGGCCCUAUGGGUUGUAAACUUCUUUUGUACGGGAAAAAACCACCGGUCGUGAAUCGGUGCUGAUGGUACCGUAAGAAUAAGCAUCGGCUACCUCCGUGCCAGCAGCCGCGGUAAUACGGAGGAUGCAAGCGUUAUCCGGUUUCAUGGGGUGCAAGGGUAAUACUAGGGGAGCGGUGAAAGCCUACAGCUUAACUGUAGAACUGCCAUUGAUACUGUUAGUCUUGAGUGUUGUUGAGGUAGGCGGAAUGUGUCAUGUAGCGGUGAAAUUCUUAGAUAUGACACAGAACACCGAUCGCGAAGGCAGCUUACCAAGCAACAACUGACGCUCAUGCACGAAAGCGUGGGGAUCAAACAGGAUUAGAUACCCUUGUAGUC